ACUCGCUCUGUUUAUCCUUGUCAGUCGAGCGGCGCGCGGAAAGUAGUUUGCUACUUUUGGCGGCGAGCGGCGGAUGGGUGAAUUAUGCCUGGGACAUUGCCCCCUCGAGGGGGAUAACAGUUGGAAUCAACUGCUAAUACCGCACACGCCCUACGGGGGAAAGCAGGGGACCUUCGCGCCUUGCGCGAUUGGAUAUGCCCGGGUGGGAUUAGCUAGUUGGUGAGGUAAUGGCUCACCAUGGCGAAAUCCCUCUGUGGUCUGAGAGGAUGAUCAACCACACUGGAACUGAGACCCUGUCCAGACUCCUACGGGAGGCAGCAGUGGGGAAUAUUGCACUGUGGGGGAAACCCUGAUGCCCCCCUGCCGCGUGUGUGAAAAACGCCUUCGGGUUGUAAAGCGCUUUCAACGAGGAGGAAACGUCUGUAGCUAAUAUCUGCUGACUGUGACGUUACUAUCAUAAAACGCCCCGGAUAUCUCCGUGCCCGCCGCCGCGGUAAUACGGAGGGUCGCAAGCUGAUUAAUCACAAUUAGUGGGCCUAUUAAAGCGCACGCAUGGCGGUUGUACUAACUUAGAUGCGAAAGCCCCCGGGUCUCAACCUGGAGAUUUGCAUUUAAAACUGUCCAGCUAGAGUAUUGUAGAGGGGGGGUAAAUUUCCCAGGUGUAACGGUGAAAUGGAUACAUAUCUGGAGGAAUCCCGGUGGCAGAAGGCCGGCCCUCUGGACAAACAGACUCACGCUCAGGUGAGAAAGCGUGGGGAGCACACAGGAUUAGAUCCCCUGGUAGUCCACGCCGUAAACGAUGUAGAUUUGGAGGGUGUGUCCUUGAGACGUGGCUUCCGGAGAUAACGCGUUAAAUCGACCGCCUGGGGAGUAUGGCGCCAAGGUUAAAAUUCAAAUGAAUUGAGGGGGGCCCGCCCAAGCGGUGGAGCAUGUGGUUUAAUUGGAUGCAACGCGAAGACCCUUCCCUGUCCUUGACAUGUCUGGAAUCUUGCAGAGAUGAUGGAGUGCCUUCGGGAAUCAGAACACAGGGGCGGCAUGGUGUUGUUCAGCUGUCGUUGGGAGAGGUUGGGUUAAGUCCCGCAACGAGCGCAACCCCUUUCCUUUUUUUCCAGCACGUAAUGGUGGGAACUCAAGGGAGACUGCCGGUGAUAAACCGGAGGAAGGUGGGGAGGACGUCAAGUCAUCAUGGCCCUUACGGCCAGGGCUACACACUUCAUACAAUGGCGGGUACAGAGGGCGGCAAGCCAGGGGUAUGGACCGAAUCCCAAAAAGCUCUUCCUAUUCCGGAUUGGAGUUUGCAAUUCGAUUCCAUGAAUUGGGAAUCGCUAGUAAUCCCAAAUCAGAAUGUUGCGGUGAAUACGUUCCCGGGCCUUGUACACACCGCCCGUCA
rnacentral:rRNA from 1 species